AAGCGCAAAGAUAAAAACACAGUCCCGGUUGGUAGUCCGGGCGCGGCCCGUGCCGUCAGUAACCUGCCUCCUUGGUUGUCCCUUCUUUGUUCUGUUACC
rfam:Catabacter hongkongensis strain HKT16 2806ref_2ab_c41, whole genome shotgun sequence.